rnacentral:lncRNA from 1 species
CUAGUAUCGCGAGAUCAGGAAGGUGGCCGAGUGUGUCGCCGCGGCCAUCAGGCACUUCUCCUUCCUGCCCUUGUAUGAAGAAGGAUGUGUUUGCUUCCCCUUGUGCCAUGAUUGUAAAUUUCCUGAGGCCUCCUCAGCCCUGCAGAACUGGCUAGAGCAAUGUAUCUUAGGCUCACUUAAGGAAGCUGUAGAGAUGAGCCCAAGGAGGGAAACCAGAAGAGCCCCCCAGGCUCACCAGUUGUUUGUUGGCUCCCUACAAACAUGUCAUUCAAGUGGCUAAUCUUACAACAGCACAAAUUCAUCUAACCAGAGAUACUCUAUUAUAGCAAAGAAGAAAGAUAAUUUCAUUGAGCCAUCCUGUUUUACAGGAUUUUCCCUCCUGGUGAGUCAAAAUGAACAAGAAAUACCCCAGGACCUCCCUUCCCUCCUUGGCCAUUAAUGAGAUGAAGGCAAUUAACUCACAUAGUAUAAAUGAAUCAUUUGAGGUGAUGACUGCAUUUUAGGCAAAUGAUGACUUUCUUGGUUCCAUUGGUUUGCAAGUAAAAGUUACACACAUUGAAAAGACACUGAAACAGAUUUCCUAAAUGCUUCAUUUUCUGGAUGCACCAAUGUUGACCUACUAUACAUGUUAAAUGGUUUUAAAAUAUCACCUUAAAAUAAAGGAAACUUCCAGCUACUAACUCAGCUCUGAAUGGGCUAUGAAAGGCUCCAAAGGUAUGUGAAAAAUUACUGUUAUUUUGCUUUAAAAAAUGUGAUGUCUAAGAGUGUCUGCAAUGUUCUAAUGCUUCAAAACAUGUACGUAAGCCUUGUUUAUCUGGAAAUCAUUUCUUUCUGCUUAUAUCAUUUAUAAAUAGAAAAUGUUCUGUAAUAACUUAAAAUAGUUCCACAUACAUAAUGCUUUUAGUGUCAUAAUACUUACUACUGGUCUAUAUUUACCAACAUUUAUCACAUUUUACAAAAUGAAGUAGAAGAAAAAAAAGACAACGACUUUAUGGCCCUGGAAUUCCAGUAAUGGUGACCAACAUGUUUUAAAUUCCAGUAAAGGUUAUGGUUACAUUUCAACAAGUGUCUCUUUCCUUUUUUUUACCUCUCCUGCUAACCCAGAGGUAAAUUUCCCAAAAA